CACUCAUAGAACUGGAGUUACAACUCCGGUAACUAUAGUUUCUUCUGGCCCAUAGACUACUUUCAGAUGACAGGUAGUGAACCAGUUCUCUCUGUAGCUGAAGGACGAGGAGGAGGAGGUCAGGUGAACGUUACCUGUUCAUCAGUGGGCUGGUCACCACAACCUAAACUCACCUGGAGAAACAAAGAUGGGACAGAGAUCAGAAAUGGACAAGAAGUACUCAACACUUCUGAUCCUCAGGGCUUGGUGAGUGUCAGUAGUUGGCUGCUGUAUGCUCCCUCAUACUCAAUUGGCUC